rnacentral:rRNA from 1 species
GCGUUGUCCGGAAUCAUUGGGCGUAAAGAGCGUGUAGGCGGCUUGGUAGGUCCCGUGUCAAAUCCUGAGGCUCAACCUCAGUCCGUCACGGGAAACCGCCUCGCUAGAGUCCGGAAGAGGAAAGUGGAACUCCUGGUGUAGCGGUGGAAUGCGCAGAUAUCAGGAAGAAUAUCGAUGGCGAAGGCAGCUUUCUGGGACGGUACUGACGCUGAGACGCGAAAGCGUG